rnacentral:lncRNA from 1 species
CUGCACAUAGCGAGUUAACUCUCCAAUGAUAAGAGAGGUCAUGUUCUCUGAAAUGACCUCAUGCUGUCCGGCAUAGUCAUUCAUUUCAUUUAAAGUGGCUAGGAAGGCUCUAGUUGAUGUGUACCUGUACUCUUCCUCUUCUUUGGAGUUCUUUUUGGGUUGAUAUUUCUUUGAAAGAUUCCUAAGCUGCUUUGCAUAGCUGAGUUCGAUCUCUGUUCUUUCCUUGACAAACUUGAUGUAUUUUUCCAGAACAUCAAUACCCCACUGCGUGUGCUUUUCUAAAUUGUCAAACUGGUCCCACAGCUCCGUGCCCCAGCUCAUGGCUCCGCCGGCGCCGAGCGGAGGGCGGCCGGGGGUCGCUGCCCCUCAGCGAGGCUUUCCUUCCC